rnacentral:rRNA from 1 species
UACGUAGGGGGCAAGCGUUGUCCGGAUUUAUUGGGCGUAAAGAGCGUGUAGGCGGCCAGACAGGUCUGCUGUGAAAACUCGAGGCUCAACCUCGAGACGCCGGUGGAAACCGUUUGGCUAGAGUCCGGAAGAGGAGAGUGGAAUUCCUGGUGUAGCGGUGAAAUGCGCAGAUACCAGGAAGAACACCCGUGGCUAAGGCGGCUCUCUAGUACGGUACUGACGCUGAGACGCGAAAGCGUGGGGAGCGAACAGG